AAGUGAACCUUUGAUAGAGGAGGUAUAUCCUUUGAUAGUGUAAUUGCAUGCAAGAGUUUUAACUUUUCCUCUCAAUAUUAUUCUGGGUUCUAUUUUUUUUUCUUUGAAAAGUCUAUGUUUGUGAUUUUAAUGUCUGUUUUUUUGGUUAAGUUUUUAUAUAAAAUUUAUUGUGCACUCUGGACGUUUUGCCCUCCCUUGUGGCUGACUUCUUAACAGCUUCAUUUAUUGAUGAUAUUUAUGUGCUGUUUAUGGUUGUUACUUAGUAGUAUUGCUUGUGAAGUUAGUAAAGUAGACAGCUCUGUCUUCCAUAAUUGUUGGGUUCUUUUAGGUGCUGCAAGGGCUUGAUGUGG
rnacentral:misc_RNA from 1 species